rnacentral:misc_RNA from 1 species
GAUGAAGAACGUAGCGAAAUGCGAUAAGUAGUGUGAAUUGCAGAAUUCAGUGAAUCAUCGAAUCUUUGAACGCACAUUGCGCCCCUUGGUAUUCCAUGGGGCAUGCCUGUUCGAGCGUCAUUUGUACCUUCAAGCUCUGCUUGGUGUUGGGUGUUUGUCUCGCCUCUGCGUGUAGACUCGCCUCAAAAUAAUUGGCAGCCGGCGUAUUGAUUUCGGAGCGCAGUACAUCUCGCGCUUUGCACUCAUAACGACGACGUCCAAAAGUUCAUUUUUACACUCUUGACCUCGGAUCAGGUAGGGAUACCCGCUGAACUUAAGCAUAUCAAUAAGCGGAGGA